rnacentral:rRNA from 1 species
GAUCCUGGCUCAGGAUAAACGCUGGCGGCGCACAUAAGACAUGCAAGUCGAACGGACUUAACCGAAAGUUUACUUUUGGAGCGGUUAGUGGCGGACUGGUGAGUAACACGUAAGCAACCUGCCUAUCAGAGGGGAACAACAGUUAGAAAUGACUGCUAAUACCGCAUAUGCCUAAGUAUCACAUGGUACAAUAGGGAAAGAAGCAAUUCGCUGAUAGAUGGGCUUGCGUCUGAUUAG